AAUCAACGCUGGCGGCGUGCCUCAGACAUGCAAGUCGAACGAUUAAAGCUCUCUUCGGAGAGUGUAUAGAGUGGCGCACGGGUGAGUAACACGUAAGUAAUCUACCCUCGAGUGGGGAAUAACAACCGGAAACGGUUGCUAAUACCGCAUAAUGCAGCGGCACCGCAAGGUGACAGUUGUUAAAGAUUUAUCGCUUGAGGAGGAGCUUGCGGCAGAUUAGCUAGUUGGUAGGGUAACGGCUUACCAAGGCUACGAUCUGUAACCGGUCUAAGAGGACGGUCGGUCACACUGACACUGAAUAAC
rnacentral:rRNA from 1 species